GUCUGCUACUUGUUUGUUCUAAUUUUAGCUGUAAAAUUUCUCCACCCUUACAUUUAAUUUCAUUUUGUAUUAUUAAUUACUUAAUUUCUCCGCCCUUAAAUUUCCAGGGAUCAUUAACAUUUGCUUCUUUUCCUAUCUUGGUCUCAUUGUUUUUGGUUGAUCCAGCAAACCGUGUGCCUUCUGUUAUUUAGCCAUGGAAAUGAAGCUCCGAGGUUUUAAAAAUUGCUGCACAUUGGGAUGGAUCAGUUCAUUAUAACACGCCUUGGUAGGUCUCCUUGCCAUUUUCUCACAAGGAGAAUGUAGAAGUAGAAGAGAUAACUCAUUCAGAAUCUUCUUCUUCAUCCUCGCUAAA